rnacentral:rRNA from 1 species
UACGUAGGCAGCAAGCGUUGUUCGGAAUUACUGGGCGUAAAGAGUGUGUAGGUGGUGUCGUAAGUUUGGUGUGAAAUCUCCCGGCUUAACUGGGAGGGUGCGCCGAAGACUGCGAUGCUGGAGUAUGGGAGAGGAAAGCGGAAUUCCUGGUGUAGCGGUGAAAUGCGUAGAUAUCAGGAGGAACACCUGCGGUAUAGACGGCUUUCUGGACCAUUACUGACACUGAGACACGAAAGCGUGGGUAGCAAACAGG